rnacentral:rRNA from 1 species
AACGCGAAGAACCUUACCAGCUCUUGACAUCCCGUGCCACGCCCAGAGAUAGGCGGUCCUCUUCGGAGGCGCGGAGACAGGUGCUGCAUGGCUGUCGUCAGCUCGUGUCGUGAGAUGUUGGGUUAAGUCCCGCAACGAGCGCAACCCUCGCCUUUAGUUGCCAGCAUUCAGUUGGGCACUCUAGAGGGACUGCCGGUGAUAAGCCGGAGGAAGGUGGGGAUGACGUCAAGUCCUCAUGGCCCUUACGGGCUGGGCUACACACGUGCUACAAUGGCGGUGACAGUGGGCAGCAAAGCCGCAAGGCCAAGCUAAUCUCCAAAAGCCGUCUCAGUUCGGAUUGCACUCUGCAACUCGAGUGCAUGAAGUUGGAAUCGCUAGUAAUCGCAGAUCAGAAUGCUGCGGUGAAUACGUUCCCGGGCCUUGUACACACCGCCCGUCACACCAUGGGAGUUGGGUUUACCCGAAGGCAGUGCGCUAACCGCAAGGGGGCAGCUGACCACGGUAGGCUCAGCGACUGGGGUGAAGUCGUAACAAGGUAACCUUAAUUAAAA